AUGGCCGCGCCCGACGCCGCCCCGGUAUAUAUAUGUGCGCGGGGCGCGUCCUCCGUGUACUCCCCCGCAGCCUGCUCCUGCUCUAGAGUACGUCGCGCUGCACCGUGCCCUCCAAAGCAGGCUGCUCUUGAGUGUCACCGUGCACUGGCACCGCGCGCGCGAGCUCUUGGUGUCGAGAAGAUGAUGAUGAGGCAUGGUCUUGUCGCCCGAGUUCACCGCGCUCAUCCCCUUCUUCUGCUCCUCGCGGCCGUCUUGUUGCUCACCGCCACGGCUGAUGGCAUCAGACCGGGCCCCGAUGAUGCUGAUGCAAGACCGGCAGUGCAGCGUGCACGGCCGGGGCAUGCGCCUGGUGCUGCGGCGACGGAGACGGAGGAGAAGAAGGAUGUGUCGGGGUUCCUGCAGGAGGAGGUGUACGGGACGGGGUCGAGCCUGCCGGACUGCACGCACGCGUGCGGCGCCUGCAAGCCGUGCAACCGCGUGAUGAUCAGCUUCAAGUGCUCCAUCGCCGAGCCCUGCCCCAUGGUCUACCGCUGCAUGUGCAAGGGCAAGUGCUACCCCGUUCCCUCCAGCUAG
rnacentral:rRNA from 1 species